rnacentral:lncRNA from 1 species
GUAAAUAUCCAUAGAUUAGAUAAAACAUAAAAACUCCAGAAACACAGAUGAAAAAUUGAGCAGGUUUGUUAAAUUUGCUAAGAUUAAUGCCAAGAACUAUAACAUCAUCUACUGAUUUGAUAUGGGGUGACAUAGUCUGAGAUUUGGAAGGUACACUGAUGGAAACGUAUUUUCUUGCUGAAGUGAAUUUCAGAUCCAUGACUCCUCGUUCGCUGCAUUCGGUGCUGCUGUUAUCUUCUUUCUGUCCUUCUUUUUCCUCGUGUCACCUGACUGAAAGCGUCGCGCUCAGCCUCCUCCCCGCUCACUCCCACCGCGUACCUGCGGGGAAAGGGAGGAGGACAGCUGGACAGGAAGCACCGCUGCUGCCCCGCUUCCUCCCUCCC